rnacentral:rRNA from 1 species
UGGGGAAUCUUCCGCAAUGGACGAAAGUCUGACGGAGCAACGCCGCGUGUAUGAUGAAGGUCUUCGGAUUGUAAAGUACUGUCAUUGGGGAAGAACGGUUUUCUUGAAAAGAUUGAGAAGACAUGACGGUACCCAAGGAGGAAGCCCCGGCUAACUACGUGCCAGCAGCCGCGGUAAUACGUAGGGGGCAAGCGUUGUCCGGAAUUAUUGGGCGUAAAGGGCGCGUAGGCGGGCCUUUAAGUCCGGUGUGAAAGAUCAGGGCUCAACCCUGAGAGUGCAUCGGAAACUGGAGGCCUUGAGGACAGGAGAGGAAAGUGGAAUUCCACGUGUAGCGGUGAAAUGCGUAGAUAUGUGGAGGAACACCAGUGGCGAAGGCGACUUUCUGGACUGUAACUGACGCUGAGGCGCGAAAGCGUGGGGAGCAAACAGGAUUAGAUACCCUGGUAGUCCACGCCGUAAACGAUGAGUGCUAGGUGUAGAGGGUAUCGACCCCUUCUGUGCCGCAGUUAACACAAUAAGCACUCCCGCCUGGGGAGUACGGCCGCAAGGUUGAAACUUAAAUGAAUUGACGGGGGUCAUAGCUGUUUUCCU